AAACAGACUCCAACCUCUCCACAAUGGCCAAGACCAGAGAGCUGUGAGAGGAUAUUGGAACCAUGAAGCUCUUCCUACUGGUUGUGAUCCUGGGUGUUGUAACUGCUGUUCUACUGAUAAUCAUCCUCCUCCUGGUCCUCAAGGACCUGAAUCGCAACAACCACAAAAAUAUCAGAAAAAGAAGAGAAGAGAGGAGUUGGACCCCCAUGUAGUGUAUGCUGCUACAAGAUGGCAAAGUGGAGGGUGGAGAGGACAAGUGGUUUGCCAUAUCUUUGAACACAAGUUUAAAUCCUCUAUUGUAUGUGUAGUUAAAUCAAAUGUAUUAAAAAUAAAUCAGUAAAUAUCUCUA